rnacentral:rRNA from 1 species
AUACGGAGGGUGCAAGCGUUAAUCGGAAUUACUGGGCGUAAAGCGCUCGUAGGCGGUUUGUUAAGUCGGAUGUGAAAGCCCCGGGCUCAACCUGGGAACUGCAUUCGAUACUGGCAAACUAGAGUAUAGUAGAGGCAAGUGGAAUUCCGGGUGUAGCGGUGAAAUGCGUAGAUAUCCGGAGGAACAUCAGUGGCGAAGGCGACUUGCUGGACUAAUACUGACGCUGAGGAGCGAAAGCGUGGGGAGCAAACAGGAUUAGAAACCCCAGUAGUCC